AUGUGGGCUAUGAAAGCAGUCAAAUUGGGGUAUAAAUGGUCUGUAGGCAAUGGUAGAUCAGUGAAAUUUUGGGAAGAUAUUUGGUUUGGUAACUCUCCACUUGCCACACAAUUCUGGGAUUUGUAUUGCAUAGCUAAUGAUAAGAACAAAACCAUAGUUGAUACUUGGGAUGGUGAGACUCUCAAAAUC
rnacentral:rRNA from 1 species